rnacentral:lncRNA from 1 species
AACAGUAGAUAGUGUGAUAAGAAUAUGUUUAGUCUUGUCAGAAACCACCAAACUUCCAAGUGGAUGUACCAUUUUGCAUUCCUAUCAGCAAUGUAUGAACCUGUUGCUCCACGUGCUCACCAACAUUUGGUGUUGGUCAGCGUUCUGAAUUUUAGCCAUUCAAAGAGUCGUGCAGUAGUAUCUCAUUUUUCAUUUGUAUUUCCCUGAUGACAUGAUGUGGAGAUUAUUUCUGUAUGCUUCUUUGCCAUGUAUAUAUCUUCCUUGAGGUCUUUGGCCAAUUUCUAAUCAGGUUUUACUGUUAAGUUUUAAGAGUUCUUUCCGUAUUUUGACAAUAGUCCUUGAUCAGACAUGUCUUUUGCAAAUGUUUUCUCCUAGUCUGUGACUUGUCUUCUCAUUUUCUUGAGCUAUUACUAAUUUUAAUGUCCUAGAGUAAUGAUUUCCAGAACCUGGAAAGACCAUUGAAAUUCUUAGCAAGUAACUAUGAAAGGGUAAAUGUCUACUAAAUAAUAUAAUGGUAACAUGUUAAGCAUUGUAAAAAUACAGUGUUAAAAUUGUAUUUUUUGGAGGCAGAAACACAUUCAGAGUUCAAAAACUAACUUACCAAUAUUGCAAAGCCUUGCACAUCCUGCCCUAUCCCCUUCACUCCAAAGACACUUGUACAUUUUAGGCAACUGCCAAAACUUGGAAAGGCUGUUUUAUCUCUUCCACGUCAUGUAAACACCUGUAAACAUCGUGUUCAGAGACUUAAUUUAACUCCUCUUUGCUCAAUUGUUUGCAAAGUUCUUAGAGUGAUUUUUGUCCAUUAAUAUUAGCUGAUAAUUUUGGAGAGAAUGAUGGAUGUGGUUGCUGGUUGUUAACAUUGUGUAUGUAGCCUUAAACUGCGUAGAAGGGUUUCAGAGGGGGAAGCAGCUGGUAUGGAAAGUGACUUGAAAUUUGACAAAGCAGUUUCUUGUGUUUGUACAAUCUUUAAAACAAACAUACGUGAACAGCAAAAUAUAAAAAUGCCAUUUGAUACCUUAAGCUAUUUCCAUAUAUAAACACUGGUUUUUAAUUCAUAUAAAACCAAAGAGCCCUGUUUGUGUUUCCCCUCAGAGCACAUUUCCGUUCUUAUUGUAGAAGUGAAAGUUAUACUAUAACAUAAAUGUAGGACUCCUUUUUUUUUUCUGCAACAAUGUACUACUUUAUUAGCAUAGUUAAUGAUGUUAUAAAGUCAUACCUCACUUUAUACCUAACAGCAAGAUGACAAGUUAUAGGUCACUUUCUGGUUAGUUAAUCUGCCUUGAAUAUAUUUUUUCCUAAAGAUUUUGAUUGCAGUGAUCACCACAGAACCUCAGCUUGUAUAUAUCUGAAAAAUUGAUAAUGUAACCACAGCUGUUCAGGAAUUAGGGUAUUAUCAGUUUACUCAGAAGUUAAUAGGAAAUCUUAACACAUUAUAAAUUUUAGUUGAGUAGAAGAUCUGUUCAUUAAGUAGCAUUUACUUAAGCACCCUUUAGAGUCAAGAAUCAGAAAAAAAUAUAUAAACUAACCUAGAUGAGCUCAACUUAAACACUAGUGUUUGAGUCAAUUUCUCAAAUUGAACCUGCGUAUAAUUCAUGGCAAAUUAAAAAGUGGUAGUUGAUCUUGGCUACGUAAUAAUGCCUUCCCUCUCCCCUCCCUGUCACUAAAAAUGUGUUCGAACACGCAAAUGAGAACACCAUACAAGUAUGAUUUAGAUUUUCUGUUGUGUGGCACCACAUCUGCUCUUAUAGAAACUCAAGGAC